UACGUAGGGGGCAAGCGUUGUCCGGAAUCAUUGGGCGUAAAGCGCGUGUAGGCGGUUCGAUAAGUCUGCUGUGAAAGUCCAGGGCUCAACCCUGGGAUGCCGGUGGAUACUGUCGAGCUAGAGUACGGAAGAGGCGAGUGGAAUUCCCGGUGUAGCGGUGAAAUGCGCAGAUAUCGGGAAGAACACCCGUGGCGAAGGCGGUUCUCUGGGACGGUACUGACGCUGAGACGCGAAAGCGUGGGGAGCGAACAGG
rnacentral:rRNA from 1 species